CUUUUGUGGUGUAUCAAACACGUUGGUUUUUCGUGCCAAAGUUGAAUUUAGGUUUUAAAAGA
rnacentral:tRNA from 1 species